UAGGCUGCAAAUCUUUUGUAUGUGGACCAACCAACUGGAACCGGCUUUAGUUACAGUACUGAUUCACGUGACAUUCGCCAUGAUGAAGAGGGAGUUAGCAAUGAUCUAUAUGACUUUAUACAGGCCUUUUUUGAAGAGCAUCCGCAAUAUGCAAAGAAUGACUUUUUUAUUACCGGUGAAUCAUAUGCUGGGCAGUAUAUUCCUGCAUUUGCAGCUCGUGUCCACAAGGGAAACCAAGCUAAUGAAGGAAUUCAUAUAAACCUGAAGGGAUUUGCCAUUGGUAACGGUCUUACUGAUCCUGCAAUUCAGUACAAAGCUUAUCCGGAUUAUGCACUGGACAUGGGCAUAAUUUCAAAAAU